rnacentral:rRNA from 1 species
CAAUAGCGUAUAUUAAAGUUGUUGCAGUUAAAAAGCUCGUAGUUGGAUUUCUGGUUGAAGCGACCGGUCGGGCGUUGAUUCGUCUGCACUGGAGUCGGUUUUGGCCAUCCUCUAGGAAAGUGCGUCUGGUAUUAAGUUAUCGGGCGUAUGAUCCUGGUCUUUUACUGUGAAAAAAUUAGAGUGUUUAAAGCAGGCCUUCGCCUUGAAUACAUUAGCAUGGAAUAAUAAGAUAGGACUUUGGUCUAUUUUGUUGAUUUGCAGACCGAAGUAAUGAUUAAUAGGGAUAGUUGGGGGUAUUUAUAUUCCGAUGUCAGAGGUGAAAUUCUUAGAUUUUCGGAAGAUAAACUUAUGCGAAAGCAUUUACCAAGGAUGUUUNCAUUAA